rnacentral:lncRNA from 1 species
AUACUUUGACUAAAGGAGCAUCCAUUAUCUGAGAAAAUCAGAAAGAAGGUGUAAAAACAACAACAACAACAAGACGUGAGGGCCUUUGUUAAAGAAUGGGUUAUUAGAAAAGAUUAUAAGUACAUAGUUAGUGUAUUAUUAUUAUUAUUAUUAUUAUUAUUAUUCUACAUUUGGAUUUGAUUAUUUAUUUGUUAAUACUGGUAUUUUUGUGUUAAAAAACUCUGCAAUUUUCAACAAGAAAGAAAGGAAACUCUUAUAUU